rnacentral:lncRNA from 1 species
GAGAGAGAGAGAGAGAGAUGAAGGUCCAUGUUCAUCACUAGUCCUGCUCACUGCUAUCAUCAAAAAGACUUGCACGCUGCUUCUCUGAAAGAAACUUUUUUCUAGGACCUAAUUUAGCAAACAUACAUAAGGGGGCUUCCUUCUUCAGCAUUAAAUAUUUCAUAUUCUCAUGUCACAAUCAGCUCCCUGAAAUAAAGCACCACGCCAAAACAUCUUGCAUAGUAUUUGCACUGAUUUUUCCAUUUGCGAGCAUAUACGCGAGUUCUUAUCAGCAAAACCAACAAUUGUAGGAUCAUAGAAAAUAAUCGGGUGUUCUUCGCGUAACAUCAGGUUCACCUCUCCUCGGUGCUGGCUCAAACUGCAACAAUAAGACAACAACAUUAGACAACAACAUCAGGUUCACCUCUCCUCCUCCUCCUCUAAAGGAUACUCUUCAACGACAUUUUUGAUAAAUGAUCAAAGAGUCUUAGAAUGAUUCAGAAACCAUAAUAUCAAGAAUAAAAGGACAAAAAAACAUGAAAAAAAAGGCUGGAAUUAACACCUGGAUAAAUGUGUGCCCCUUGCAAUCAUCAACCUCCAAGAUGGAGGCCAUGUUCCUGCAUCUGUAGCAGUAAUUAGGUGCACUGAAUAUAGUUACCACCUUUUGCUCCUGUACAAGAAAGGCACCAUACUAUUACAAUUACUGAAAAACAAGCACAGACAAAUAUAUAGAUAUAGUAAACAAGAAUAAUCAACUAUUUACGUGUCCCCAAUUAUAUCCUUCCAUGACUAGCUGAUGAGCUCUGGCUAUGAGUUUAAGGUUGUUGGUAUGAUUGAAUUGUUCUGAUAUAUCCUGCAGUCAGCCCGAAAAAAAAGAGUAUAAGAAAAGGCUGCAGCUCAAAUUCACAAUAUAGAUGAGUCUAGAAGUCAGCAUGUUUACUUGGCCAAAUGUAUAUCCAGCACCACGAGGAGAAAUCCCCCAGCCACAUCGGUCAUGUGGAUCAGACCACGAGAUCACACAUUGGCCCGUCACGAGGAACUUCUUGAACGCGAUCCAAGUUUCGGAUGCUAUCAAGCGUCUCGAUAGAUGGAGACAAACCACCGUGCAGGCAGAAUAUUUCUGAUUCAACCUUCAAGCAGAACAAAGAUAAAACAACAGCAAUGAUUAGCUGGAUGAUCUAAUAACAAGAAAAGGAAACACAAUGAUCAAGUAGUUGUAUAUUUCAGUUUCAGUUAAUAGAGAAUAGUCAUUACAGAACAGAUGAAAAGAGUAACACAAGUGAGGUUCUAUAGCAAGUUUGGACACACACCAGUGCUGUCAGCGGAAAGUAGUCAAAAAGAUCAGUAAACAGAAAAUAAAAAUGUCACCUCAAAUUCGCUUAAUUAUACAAAAUUAGCUAACUAAAAAAGAUCCAUUAAAAUGAUCGCCAGAUCCUAUAAAUGCAAUUAAAUCAAAAAGCUUCUGUACUAAAUAGAUACUAUUAGACGAUAGAAGGGUUAAAAAACUUGCAUCACAACUAAAAUUCAAGGGGAAUAAAGUAUACAAAAAUACACAUUAAAUUUUUAGGAGAAAUACCGACCGUCCCUAAAGCAAGUGGUAAAGGGCUUGGUGGUCGGUACCUGAGAUCCAAGUUCGAAUUCUAGUUAAUUCACAUUUCUAGCUAAGUUUAUUUCUAAAUGAAAUAAACAAAACGGGUAGCGUGCAACCUAUCUCUCAAAAAAAAAAUUUAAGAGAAAUCAGCAAGCUUACUGCCAAAAGAAUGCAUGAUAAGCUUGACAAGUCCAGUAGCUAUAUUCGAUUUAUAUUUUGUUUACCAAUAGAAAUUUAGGAUGCAUAACCUUACCGUUGGAACUUAUAGUUAUGAAGUUUUUAAAUAUGCAAUUUUCUUUCAGAUUUGCAGAUGUUGAAGGACCAUGCGAGUAAGCAUGAGGAACUAAUUGCAUUGAUUGCCUCACAAUUACCUAGUAACUAGUGGUUUUUUAUGCAAAUUGAUCAUUUAAAAUAUAAUAUUAAAUUCAAAAUUUAAAUUUAAAUUUAAUUUUUUUUAAAAUUAUUUUUAUAAAAGUCAUUUUGAUAAGUUUUCUUAUUUUGCCCACUUUCGAGGAACUAAACAUGGACACAUAGCCUAAAGUAGCUGCAGAAUGGAGCGGAUCAACCUACUUAGCGGAUCAAGCUACUAGCAUCCGACCCGUUACGCCUCUUCACAAGGAAAAAUUCUAGAAUGCAACGAAUAUAUUGGUGACGUGGCGUAACAAAUCAAUCAAAAAAUUCUGUUUAGAAAUAUAUGUCCCAUCAUGAUUGUAAAAAAAUAUUUUUAUUAUACUUUUGUUUGAAAUAAAGAAAUGUGAUUGAUUUGUUAUUGAUGACGUGGUGAAGGUGUGAUAGUGUAGAAUUCCUCCUUCACAAGGGGCCAGGCCAACGCAGUCAAAGGCCGGGACCGCCUAUGAGGAUUUUUCCUUUUUUUCUUGAGUCUGUUCUUUUCUACAUUUUAGACUUUAGUCCCUCAACUGGGUCUAUAAAUAAGCACAGUGUAGCUAUUUCUCUCUCUUUGUUUUCCUUUCCCCAUCCUCUUAUGUCCAUCCUCGGCGAUCACCGGAGCUGGUGAUCAUCGGCGUGGGACCGUGACAUUACCGGUGGGUAAUCCUUUGAUUUCUAGUAUAGAUAUAAAAAAUUUUAAGGAUCGAAUUACUUCUUUCAGUAACAAUGGGAUUGGAGAAGAUAUAGGAAUUGUAUUGAUUUCAAAGGGUACGAAAAUGGAUAACUAGUAUAGAUAUUAAAAAUACAUUUGUUCAAUCAUCGUUCGCGCAAUUCCUUUACAUGAAGAAGAAUUAUAUUGAUUUCAAAGGGUACGAAAAUGGAGAUAAUUUACCUGAUAUAAUGCCAUUCCAUCCUAAUUAUAUUCGUUUUCGAUUUAUGGAUAGCUUAAUAGCUAAUAAAGCAUCGGUCACGCUGGGUUCUUUCAAACUUUAUGACUUUUCACCACGUACUACUUUUAUGAGUAGGGAUAAGCUUACGCUAAAGGUUAAUGAGUUGUUACAAAAUCUUAUUAUAAAAGAAUUGAUGUAUUCCUUUUUUAAAAAACUCCAUGUAGAUGGUGAUAGAAUCUUAGAAUUCAUUCAAACUAAAACGAAACCAACGAGGGGUAUAGGUUUAUUAUAUUUUAUAUUGAUGGAUUUGUAUUUAGAGCAUGUUGAUUACUUCAUAUAUGAGUCGAUAAACAAGUCUGGACCGGAUCGGGUCUGGAUAAUUAAUAUACUGUAUCCAUACCCUAAAAAAAAAUGAUCACAAAAAAAUAUAUAUACCCUACCCAUUUAAUUUCAGGUCGGGUCCGGAUCUGGAUACUAAAGUUACUAAUAUACCCAUCGGGUCUAUUUGAGCGGGUCUGGAUAGUGACUAUCCGAAUACUGCUCGUUUAAGACCGGAUACGGAUCGGAUUUAGAUCGGGCACAGAUAUCCGUAUAAAUAUAUUUUUUUUAUAAAUUUUGUUAAAUAGUCAAUAGACAAACUAUAAAGCCCACCAUAAAAAAAACGCACAUUUUAAUAAGUUGUACCAUCCAAUAAAAUAUUGUUGGCGAAAAUGAAAUGAAAAAAAAGAGUAAAGAAAAAGAGUAAAAAAAUUAGAAAAAGAUAAUGAGUAAAAGAGAUGGCAAAGAUUUUAUUAUGAUGAAAAUACAUAGUGACUCAUCAUCUAUAAGUCAUACUAAAAUUGAUCAUUUAACUUCAAAAGUUAAUUUUUUUUAUUUACUAUCGGAUAUUUUAUCGGGUCCGGAUCCGGGUCCGGGUUCGGGUCCAGGUUCGGAUUUGAAAACUACUCCGGACCCUACCGAUUUAAAAGUUAGGUUUGGGUCGGGUCCAAAUCGGAUAUGUGUAUAAAAUAUCCGGAUCCAUACCCGAAAUUUUAAUGGGUAAUUUUUUUUAUCCGUAUACUAUUUAUUUUUUAUCGGGUCCGGUUUGGAUCCGGGUAGGGUUCGAGUCGGGUAUGGGAUAUCAGAUAUUUUGGAUACCUUUAAUUAUAUCGAUAUUUUUUAUUUUUUCUGUAAUAUUUAGUAAACCGUUAGUAUAGUGAUAAUAAUUUUUAAUUGUAUAAAUAAUAUUGGCUCUAUUUUAUUAACUUAUUUUAUAAAUUGGGCCAACAAUUGGGCCAAUAUUGGGUUUGAAAAGGCAUGGACCUCCGUUGGAAUAUAGAAAUUAAUUAGCCCUACUCCAUCUCUCUCUCUCUCUCCCCCUUUUUUUUUUUCAGAUCGGAGUUUCCACGCACCGCGAGCUUGGAGCUCUCUCUCUCGAUCUCUCUCCCUUUCUUCUCACUUGGAUCUACACACGAUUCCACGAUCGGGAGAGGUGAGCUAUUGAUUUUUCUUUCAUUUUUGGCUUUGAUCUCGCAGUGUUAGUGCAAUUUGAUCUAGCUUCUCAAUUAAGCCGAAGUGUUCGUAAUGGGGGGUUUUAGGAGUUAAUUUUUGGAUUCGCUUGCGAUUUGUGGGAGAUAUUAUCCAGUUUUUUGACAAUGUUCGAUCAUCUACAUGCUCAUCUCUUUUAAAUUUGUUUCGAAGCCGAAAUUUAGGUCUCUUUUGUGCUUCAUUAACACUGAUUGAUUGAGUAAGCUUUGCGAGACUAUUUAGGUUUCAAGAACGGUUUUACUUGUGAAUCUCCAUUGCUCUUAUGACAUGUUUGCUCUGAUUAUGUUUUAGGUCCUUUGGACCAGCAUAACAAAUUAAAAAAAGUGCGAGAUCAAAUACUUCUUUGUCACAAUUACAACCCAACUGAUUCUAGUCCAAAUUUUGAAGCGUAAAUCACCUGAUGGCUUGGCGCACGUAGAGGAGAUGCUUCUUGUAGUAACUAACUCUGGUGCGGUCAUUUAGGGCUUCUUUAAGAGAUACAGUCUUAUUGUUGUGCUCAUCAACACCUAAAGAAGAAUAACAAGAGAAAAGUAAAUCACAUUGUGCUCGCCAUUUGAUUAGCUAAACCACUCAUAAUACUGAACUAUGAGCUUCAUAAUAAUGGAUAUGAAAGGGGCUAUCUUACCGUUCUCUGUAAUGUAAAUGACUGGGUUGUUGUACUUGGACUUGGUAUAGAGUAAGAGUUGUCUUAUUCCCGGUGGGUAGAUGUAAAGCCAUCCUGAAGCAGCCUGUGAAACACCUCUGACCUUAGAGCUCAUUUUAUAAAAUCUCAUUUGUGUCACCUAUCUCACUUCUAAACCCCAGGUUAGUUCAUGUGGAUCUAAACCUUUUUUCCUUUUUUUUUUUAAAUUGAAAAGUAAUGAUGCAUACCUGUGGUCCAAUCGGGUGUUAGAAAAUGUUAUAAUGGUGUCAGAACUCAAGACAACAAUAUAUAGGAAGAAGGUUUUGGGAUGCUGAAAGGUCUUUUUUUUUUAGUCAUGAACCUUUACCUGUUGCAUUAAUCUGUGCAUCAGUGGAAAAGGUUGCAUUAACAUUGUUGGGAGGUGGAGGAACACUGUAAGUGUAGCUGGCAGUAUAGUAGUUAACCCCAAUGAAGUCGUAUGAUCCCUUAACCAGCUCGGACUGCUUUUUAGAAAAUACCGGCAGACGAUUGCCGACUAAACUUUGCAUGCUUGAGGGAUACUUCCCUCGAGUUAAUGGUUCCAGGAACCUGUUUAUAAAGUUACGAAGAAAUGAAAUACAGGAUGAAACUCUAACAAAGAUCUAUUUUAUAUCCUUUGCUUCUACUUCUGUGUUAGUAUGAAGAUGCUCACCAUCUGGGUUUUCUAUGGAUUCCAACAUGCUAUCAAUAAUUAUAUUCUUUGUGAUUAAAAAUAUUUUUGAAGUUGAGAGGGUUUUCUAAUUAGCUUUGCUUGUGGUGUACAUGAUUUGUGGAGUCCCUGUUUAAGCUGUUGUGCAAGUAGAGCUCUUACAUGAACUGUUAUUUUGUGUUUGUUGUCCAAUGAAUUGUCUUGUGGAUAAUAUAUAUGAUAUUAGACCUAGCGUCGACAGUAAAAAAAAAAAGAAGAGUAAUAUAUAUAUAUAUAUAGAAUUAGGCUACUAUACUAUCUAUAGUAUAGACAUUAUGCAAGUCAUAGAGAAAUCCUUUGCAUAUAGAGGUUAGAUAAACUGUCAACAACACGCCUAGCCCCAACAACAGAGACUAAAGUUUAAAAUUUAAGUGUGCACGUGCAUUUUUUUUUUUUUUUACAUAUUUUUUAUGCUUAAGAUGAUGAAUGGCAAGCCCCUGGAAUAAAGAUGUAUUCAUGGUUUACAAAUGCCUAUGAGCUAUUCAUGUUCAAGCAUAAGAAUCAAAACGCAAUUAUAUAUAUUCAUGUUCAAGCAUAAGAAGGAUUGUACAUCCAGGUUCCAAAAGAAGAGAGAAAGGAAAUGAAAUAUGAAAGCUACUACAUUUGGCUUACCUUGAACUUAAAAAGUUUUCCUCUUUUGAGCAAUCUCCCAAACCUAGUUUUCACAGAUUGUUAUUAAAAAACAUUGCGUCGGCUAGCAAGAAUGAAUUGUUAUUUUUCCUUGAUUUUUUGUUUUAUGACUUGGGCAGAUAAGAAUAAAACCAGAAGUAUAGUCAUUACUGAUAAUGUUCUUAUGAGUAACCAAAAGGCCCCAGGUAUGAAAGGUGCACAAAGCGACCAAACCUGAUCAAUAAUUAGCAUUAGGUUCACCAAUCAGAAUAUUAGUUCCCUUGUGAUUAUGAAAUCUCAACCGAACCUCAAUUUGUGUUACAUAAGUAGGUGAUAUCAAACCUGACCUGUACUACACAAAUCUAAAUCAAACCCAACACAACCCGACCUAAAAUGAUAAAUUAAUAAUCAUAAAAGCUAAGCAACAUACAUUCUAUAUAUACACCACAUACAAUCGUAUAUAUUAGAAUUCUCCUUUUAGACCGGAUGAUACUAGAGAAGGAUAUGAUAUUCUAUUCCACUCUUUUUCAUCCUGGUUCUAGAGAAUGACUGAACCCUUGCAUUUCAAAUCAUCUCCCUAUAAAAUUUAUCAUUUGGAACCCAAGAAAUUGAAAUAAUUCAGCCCGACCUGAACCAACCUGGUUUUGACCCUAGUUUAGUGCAAUCCAAAAGAUUUUUUGUUAGGAUCAAAGCACAACCCGAGGUAGCAUUUGGUUAGAUAGAGUUGUCACUUAGCCUUCAACUCGACUCAACCCGUUCAAGUUGCACCUUACACAGGAUUAUUUUUCCUUAUGUUGGUCACGCAAUCUAACAAAAUAUAUGGACUGUAAUAUCUAUUAGAAGACAGAAGCUUAAUAUCCUAUCUCAUUUUUCACAAGGCUUUUAGUGUAAAAUCUAUUCAAGUUUGAUUUCUCCUCUUAAGACAUCACCCAGGUUCCAAACACCAAACAUCAAAACAAACUUCCAUACUUUUCAGUCUUGAUGAAAACAACAUCAUUAACUUACCUCAAAUGUAGAGAUGCAUACACCCUCAUUAUCCGAGAAUAUCAGUUGGAUAAAGUAGGCUAUACAUGGAGAGGCUUCGCCAUUCACAUUUGUCUAGGAAGAAACAUGAGAAAGAAUUCUUCAUCUUUACAGUACUUGAACAUUCAUAUUUGUCUAGGAAGUUGAUUCCAAAUUCUCUAUGUAAUCUUCAGAUUAUGAGGUUGAAGCUAGUACUUUUACAGUCAUCAUACAUAUUUCCAGCUGUUUUUUCAAUCACUUGUGCAUGCCGUUUCCUUAACUAGCAGAGAUUCCCUAAAAGUUAGCAAAUUGCAGAUGUCUAAGAAAUGGGGUAUGUGAUAUAUAUAUCUUACAUCUGAAUCUCUUUAAUUCCUACAAUUUUUAUCUAGUGCUAUGUACUUUGCCCUGUCGUCGUUAAUUCUCUACUUCAGAAAAUAGAGGAAACCAUUAAAUGUCAUGGUCGACUUAUGUUAUCAUAGACUUAACAUAUCUUUUUAGCAUCCAGCUUUACUCUUCUUUUUUCUCUCUUUUUUCUUCCUCCUUGUUUGGACUUCUCUCAUCAUAGUCUAAUGUUCUAUUUGCGACUAAAAUUCUUUACUUGCUUGUUAAUAAGGGUGGACAGAUCUCUGUUUCCUGGUUAACAGUUAAUCUACCCUCUUUUUCCUUCCCACCUUUCUGAACAAGUUGUGAGAGUGUUAUACAAACUUUCCUUUUUUAUUUCGUUAGGAUGAUCAAUUUAGAAGUAUGUAAACAUUAGGAUUUUGUGAUUCAUUUCACUGUAGGACUUUCGUAAACUCUAGCAUGAAAUGGGCCUCGCGUGAAGUGUCUAUAGCCGUCUAUAGACAAGUUUGAGCUUGUGUUUAUUCUGUGGCUCCAAAAGAAUGAACUCUGAUUUCUUGUUCAAUUAUAUGGUUAUUUUCCAAAGGGUAGGAAAUUUUCUGAUAGAAGUUUCGAAAAUUCGGCUUCUGCAAUCAUAUCACCUAUGACCUAUCUCUUUCCAUCUUUUGGGGGUACCGAAGACUCACAAUUGACAAAAAGAAAAAAAAGGGCAAGGAGUGAAGGAUCGCAGUUAUUUUCAAAACAACUCUGUAGUAUCAGGUAGACGUAGUAGUUGAAAGGAGUCCACAUGCAACGUAUGAAACCUUAGUUAACCACAGUUUCUUCUAGUUCUUUGCUCUAAAGCAUUCUGAAUAUUAGAAGUGGAAGAAUUGGAGAAGGAUUCUUCGAUUGAAGUAAGUAGUGAACAUCGCUUCUUCAAUUAGGGCGAGGAGCCAACGAUUUCAGCGUAUUCAAAGUGAUAUGUCAGAUCAGGUUGUUGUGGUAGUAAAAAGGAGUCUAGAUGCAAGUAAUGUAACUAUAGUUGACUCCAGUUUCUUUCAAGUUCUUUUUUCGAAUGUGUUCUGAAAACUAGAAUCGCAAGAACUGCGCAAGAACUGGAGAAAACUGGGAUGCUAGUAAGAAGUAUUAAACAAUGUUUUUUCAUUUAGAACUCGAUUAGAUAGUCAUAGUACUUCAAAAGAGUCCAAAUGCAAUGUAGUGUAACCUUAGUUAACUCAAAGCUGGGAUGUAACUAUGAUUUAAGACCCUUUAAAAUCACAUUAGUCCAAGUAGUCUAAAUGAGUCCAGAUGCAAUGAUGUCACCUUAGUUUGAAAUGUUCUGAAAACUAGCAGAGAAAGAGUUGGCGAAUAGAAUUGCAGUGUAAGUAAGAGUUAUCAAACUGUGCUUUUAUUUGGAAAAGGGGAAGAAGUUUAAGUUGUAUUCAAAGUAAUAUCUGAGGCCAGAUAGUAGUGAAAACGAGUUCAGAUUCAAUGUAUGUUACCUUAUUUAUUCCAACUACUUUUUCCUUUCUUGUGUGUUCUGAAGAGUAUAGAUAAUUGGGGGAUUAAAUGGUAUUAAACUUUGCUACAACUUAGUUAUAUACAGGGAUUAGAACACAUAAUUUAACACAGUUCUAGUGGUAAAUUUAUAUUUUGUAACAGUGAUGGCUCUGAAAUGUCAAUAGAAGGGUAUCGAAGGCCUUUUCUUCUUUGAUUUCUGAAGUUCAAGUUUGAUCUCUCGACAUUGAAAGGCAUGGAAGAGAUGAGAUCAUGAGCUGGAUCUUAAAUUGCAGGCUCUUUCCUAAUCUUAAAAAUAUAAAAGAUACUGAUAAAAAAAAAUUGACAGUAAACUACAUGGAUGAAGCACAUAUAUUUGUAUAUGGAUUCAUCAUCGUGUUUUUUCUUCUGUUUUGACCUUUUAGCAAGUUUGCUUAACAUGUUACUGUUGUUUUAUCAAUAAUUAUAUAAUAUACAUUAUGUGCAGACAGCCAUGCCCCCCAAGGGUUUAAAGGUCAAAGGUGACAAAUGGUCAAUUAGGCUUGAAGCGUCCAAACAUGGGAUUUUUCGUUUGGGACCUUUUGAUGACAUGGAUGAAGCGCAAAAAGUGCACGACUUCAUCGUCCACAAACUCGGACUCGGUAAACGUGCUUCUCCAGUUUACUUAGAGUCCCAGUUGGUGGGUACGAAAGUUCAUAAAUUCUGUGAAGGGAUGAAAGAUGAGAAGUUUAUGAAAUUGCUAAAGAACAAUGAAUUUUAUCCAGCGUAUAUGAACUUUGUGCUGGAUGGUGCUAACAAGGUUGGAAACGUGGUUGGCGCUGAGGACUUUGUGCUGGAUGGUGCUAACAAGGUUGGAAACGUGGUUGGCGCUGAGGACUUUGUGCUGGAUGCUGCAAACAAGGUUGGAGAAGUGGUUGUCACUGAGGACUUCGUGCUGGAUGGUGCAAAAACUCCAACUUGUUCUCAAAAGCAAACAAUUGCUAAACAUGCAAUGUAGGUAAGCAUCCAGUACCCUACACUCCAAUAACGAAUUCAAGUACGAAAAACACCAACUAGUUCUCAAAAGCAAACAAUUGCUAAACAUGCAAUGUAGGUAAGCAUCCAGUACCCUACACUCUAAUAACGAAUUCAAGUACAAAAAACAGCAUAUGACUUAAAAUAGCUAAUAAAAAGCAAACAGUUGCUAAACAUGUAUAUGUUGGUAAGUAUCCACCCUAGACUCUAAUCUGUUAGGACCAUGUAUUGCUCCUUCACUCCAGAAGUCUUGGUUGCCUAUUCUCUAUACAAACCUUCCUCAAUAAUCUUCCAAAAUGGCAAAGAGUUUACUCCCCAUCUCCUCUGCUGAUGAAACAGCCUUUUCAGCUAUUUCUAGAUGUUGCUGCAGGUCUUUCAUCAUUAUUUUCAGUACCAAAAUAUUAUCGGCAUUGGAAACGUGGUUGGCUUCUUCAAUUAGGGCGAGGAGCCAACGAUUUCAGCGUAUUCAAAGUGAUAUGUCAGAUCAGGUUGUUGUGGUAGUAAAAAGGAGUCUAGAUGCAAGUAAUGUAACUAUAGUUGACUCCAGUUUCUUUCAAGUUCUUUUUUCGAAUGUGUUCUGAAAACUAGAAUCGCAAGAACUGCGCAAGAACUGGAGAAAACUGGGAUGCUAGUAAGAAGUAUUAAACAAUGUUUUUUCAUUUAGAACUCGAUUAGAUAGUCAUAGUACUUCAAAAGAGUCCAAAUGCAAUGUAGUGUAACCUUAGUUAACUCAAAGCUGGGAUGUAACUAUGAUUUAAGACCCUUUAAAAUCACAUUAGUCCAAGUAGUCUAAAUGAGUCCAGAUGCAAUGAUGUCACCUUAGUUUGAAAUGUUAUGAAAACUAGCAGAGAAAGAGUUGGCGAAUAGAAUUGGAGUGUAAGUAAGAGUUAUCAAACUGUGCUUUUAUUUGGAAAAGGGGAAGAAGUUUAAGUUGUAUUCAAAGUAAUAUCUGAGGCCAGAUAGUAGUGAAAACGAGUUCAGAUUCAAUGUAUGUUACCUUAUUUAUUCCAACUACUUUUUCCUUUGAAUACGUUGAAAUCGUUGGCUCCUCGCCCUAAUUGAAGAAGCCAACCACGUUUCCAAUGCCGAUAAUAUUUUGGUACUGAAAACAAUGAUGAAAGACCUGCAGCAACAUCUGGAAAUAGCUGAAAAGGUUGUUUCAUCAGCAGAGGAGAUGGGGAGUAAACUCUUUGCCAUUUUGGAAGAUUAUUGAGGAAGGUUUGUAUAGAGAAUAGGCAACCAAGACUUCUGGAGUGAAGGAGCAAUACAUGGUCCUAACAGAUUAGAGUCUAGGGUGGAUACUUACCAACAUAUACAUGUUUAGCAACUGUUUGCUUUUUAUUAGCUAUUUUAAGUCAUAUGCUGUUUUUUGUACUUGAAUUCGUUAUUAGAGUGUAGGGUACUGGAUGCUUACCUACAUUGCAUGUUUAGCAAUUGUUUGCUUUUGAGAACUAGUUGGUGUUUUUCGUACUUGAAUUCGUUAUUGGAGUGUAGGGUACCGGAUGCUUACCUACAUUGCAUGUUUAGCAAUUGUUUGCUUUUGAGAACAAGUUGGAGAUUUUGUUCAUUUUUGCUUUCCAUGUUUAUAUAAUGGAUGAUGCCGGUGGAUGAAAUCGUGUUCCUAGCAUUGCUGGUUAGCUCGGGUUUUUAGCUUGUAAACACAUAUUUAAAAGGGAAAACUUCAAAAACCCCUUAUGUGGUUUCACUUUUUUUCACUUUAGUACUAUGUGGUUAAAAUGUAUCAAGUUAGUAUCCUGUAGUUUCUCACUUUAUCACUUUAGUACUACGUGGUUUAAAGUGUAUCAAAUUAGUACCUUGUGGUUUUGCAUUUUAACACUUUAGUAUCCUGUGGUUUUAAUUUUGUAUAAAGUUUGUACCCUGUGGUUUAAAAAAUCACAGGGUACUAAAGUGAUAAAAUAGAUCACAAGAUACUAACUUGAUACAUUUUAAACCACAGGGUACUAAAGUGAAAAAAGGUGAAACUACAUAGGGUUUUUGAAGCUUCGCUAUUUAAAAUUCAAAAAUAGAAAUACAAUAAUUGCGAAAAUUUUUCUAAUCUUUUGCUUUGUUUGCUACGCAAGUACAAUAGCUGCCUUCAUUGUUUUGAUCUCGUGGAAGAACUAAUAAUUAUGUCAAUGUGGUUACCUAGGCCUCUUACGAGCGACAUUACCUUUUUUUUAUUUAUUUUGUUCUUUUUAGUUGAUAUUUGGGUUCUCGGCCUAACUAGCCUGUUAUUGGUUGGGCCUACGGUGGGCCUGGAUUUAUGGGCCAACUAAAUUUAUCUUACGAUAUCCUUUGUCACGCACAACUUUCGCGAGGAUGAGCGUCGCUGCUGUCAGUGCUGUGUACAUGCAUGUCUCUCAAAAGAUGUCAUUAAAAGCUUUUAAGUGUAUUGAUGCUCCCGAUAAUCCUAUCAUAGAUAUAUAUAAUCUAAGAUAAAAAUUAACUGGAAUGGAGAUAAGAGAUCCAAGUUGUGUCGUUGCUUCCUAUAUAUCAUGAGCUGUGUACAGUUGGAAACAAGUAAUUUAAACUGAAAAAGGCUUCACGCAUUAACAUAAUUAAGUGAAGUUUAAUUAUUUCGAGUAUUAAUUGACCUUAAACAAUAUUUUGGCCAUGCACUUCAUUUAUAACUUUGCUUGUCCUAAUUUCUAGGAAUUGACUUCCAUAAUUAACCGUAUGGAGAAACAUAUUUAACAUAUAGUGUAGAUCUGUUUUGGACCAGCAAGGGCUUCUAAAAGGUAUUAUUUAACUACUAUUUUAGUCCAAAUGUCAGAACUUUGUAUAUUAUUGUAAUAUAUUUAGGCCCGUUUGGUUGGGGAACAAGAUAUAGAAUAAGGCUAUGUUUGGUUGGGGGAUAAGGAUGGAAUAAAGAGUUUAUUCCAUCCUUAAUUUUCAAACAUAAACAAAAAAUGAUGGAAACACUAGUUCCCAUCCCUUAACGAGCAUAACCCAAGGUGGAACAAGGUGGGAUAACCCAGCUUGUUCCACCCGUGAAGAGAGAGUGAGAGAGAGAGAGAGAGAGUGAAAGAAAAAUUUUAAUUUAUUAUAAAAUUUAAAUUUUGUAAGUUUAAAAAUUAAUAUUUAUAAUUUUUAAAAUUAUAAUUUUUAAAAUUAUAAAAUUUAAAAUUUAAAAUUUAAAAAUUUAAUUUUAAAUUUUAAAUUUUGAUAUUUCAAUUUUUUAUUUAGAAUUUGAUUUUUUGUAUUUUUAAAUUAAAAUUUCAUCUUAAAUUUAAAGUUUAAAAUUUAAAAUUUUAAUUUUUUAAAAUUAUAAAUUUGAGAUUUUUAAAUUUUUAAAUUUUAAAAUUUAAUUUUGAUUUUUAGAAUAUAAAUAUAAAAUAAAAAAAAAUUCUAAUAUAAAAAAAAGAAUAAUAAUAAUAAUAUUUUUUUUAAUAACUACCCAUUUUAAUUCUUAUUCCAUCUUACCUAACCAAACGCUAUUUUUUUUAUUUUCAGGAAUAACCCAAUUUUCAUCCAAACGCAAAAUUGAUCUAAUCCCCGGUUAUACCUCAAUUUAUACCUAUCCUCGGAAUACCCACUUUUUGCUUAUUCUCAAACCAAACAAUACCUAAGAGAUUAUUCCCUCCUUGUUUUCCAAACGAAAAUUAAGGGAGUGCGAACAGCUGUUCUCCCUUUUUAAUGAUCUUGAUGUUCCCAUUGCUCUUCGAAAAGGUGUCCGAAAUAAAAGUAAAUACCCUAUAUCUGAUUUUGUUUCUUAUGCAUCCUUAUCACCUUCAUAUAGAGCUUUUGUUUCGUCCUUGUCUUCUGUGUCAAUUCCACAUAAUUGGAAAGAGGCAUUAAUUGAUCCAAAAUGAAAAGGAGCUAUGGAUGAAGAAAUGAGGGCACUCAAAAAGAAUAAUACAUGGGAGCUAGUUGAUCUUCCAGCAAAAAAAAAGGACAGUAGGAUGUAAAUGGGUCUUCACGGUGAAAUAUAAAGCUGAUGGCUCAGUGGAAAGAUUCAAAGCAAGAUUGGUGGCAAAAGGAUUCACCCAAACAUAUGGGAUUGAUUAUCAAGAGACUUUUGCUCCAGUGGCAAAAUUGAAUUCUGUUCGUGUCCUUCUCUCAUGUGCUGCAAAUUUAGGAUGGGAUUUACAACAAUUGGAUGUAAAAAAUGCAUUCUUACAUGGAGAUUUACGAGAAGAAGUAUAUAUGGAGAUGCCUCCCGGCUUUUCGACUCAGAAAAAUAUUGGAAAGGUCUGCAGACUAAAAAAGGCAUUAUAUGGCCUGAAACAGUCGCCUAGAGCAUGGUUUGAUAGAUUUUGCCGAGCAAUGUUAAACUUUGAAUAUAAACAAAGUGAUGUUGACCAUACUAUGUUCAUCAAGAAAGACGAGCAAAAUCACCAUUCUUAUUGUUUAUGUCGAUGACAUAGUAAUCACCGGAAAUGACCCACAAGAAAUGAGUAAACUGAAAUGUUACUUGGCUAAGGAAUUUGAGAUAAAAGAUCUUGGAAAGUAAAGGUACUUACUAGGAAUUGAGGUGGCGAGAUCUUAGAAAGGAAUUUUUAUUUCUCCAAGAAAAUAUGUGCUGAAUUUACUUCAAGAGACUGGAAUGUUAGGGUGCAAACCAGUUGAUUCGCCAAUAGAAGUGAAUCAUCGGUUGCAAAGUAAAAUCGGAAAAGAAGUUGACAAAGAAAGAUACCAGAGGUUAGUAGGUAAAUUGAUAUACUUAUCUCACACACGACCUGACAUCUCUUAUGCAGUUAGUGUGGUUAGCCGGUAUAUGCAUGACCCAAGAGUAUCACAUUUGGAGGCUGUUUAUCGUAUUCUAUGAUACAUGAAGUCAGCUCCAGGAAGUGGACUUCUAUUUUCUAGAAAUGGUCAUUUGAAGAUUGAAUCCUUCACUGAUGCUGAUUGGGCUGGAUCUCCAGAUGAUAGAAGAUCAACCUCUAGAUAUUGUACCUUUGUUGGUGGAAAUUUGUUUACUUGGAGAAGCAAAAAACAAGAUGUAGUAGCCAGAUCUAGUGCAGAAGCUGAAUAUAGAGCUAUGGCUCAAGGUGUUAGUGAAAUUCUAUGGCUUAGAAGGUUUAUGCAAGAGCUUAAUAUGGCAGAUGAGAAACCAUCAAUACUAUAUUGUGACAAUAAAGCAGCUAUUAAUAUUGCUCACAAUCCGGUACAACAUGACAGAACAAAGCACAUCGAGAUCGAUAGGAAUUUUAUCAAAGAGAAUUUGGAAAAGGGCAGCUUACGCAUUCCAUUUGUGAAGUCAAGUGAUCAAUUAGCUGAUAUUCUCACUAAAGGAGUUGGUAGAGCAGUCUUCAAUAACAUUGUGUACAAGAUGGGCAUGAGAAAUAUCUAUGCACCAUCUUGAGGGGGAGUGUUGACUAUUCUUUUAUAAUUUUGCAUUACUUUUAUAGUUUUGUAAUUUUACUGUAAAAACUCUUUGAUAUAAAUAAAUCUCUUUGAGGUUAGGGAAAAUUAACCCUAAUCACAAUCUUAAUAUCAAUUUCAUCACCUUCCUUCAAAGCUUCGCGAGCUUUUCCUUCAGCAUGUUUCCUUCUGCUUCUUCCGCCCGGAGUUUUCUCCUCCCACCGCUUCAUGUUGAGAUGAAGAGCUUUCUUCUGUUCUUGUUUAAGUUGGAGACCAAUUAAGUGACAUUUACAAAAAACGUUGUCCUGGGAUGUUACAUUACCUCUCUUAAGGUCUAUAUUAGUCGUGCUGUAGUUUUUUGUACUCAUGUCAAAAUUAAAAGCUCCAAAUUUGAAGUUAUGAUUUUGAGCUUUAAAAUCUCAUUUCUGAUUUAUACCAGGGGAGAAGCUUCAUCUCUCAAAUGUUCAGUUAGAGGUAACGUUUGCCGGAAGCAAAAACUGAAGCUAGGCCAAACAGGCGCAUAGUUUGAUCAGAUUCUUGAUGUGUAUUAGUAUCCUCUCUCUUGAUGUGUUACAAAGAUUGAUGCUGUAGCAAACUAUUUAUUUAUUGAAUGGUUGGACUAUUAUAGUCAUCUGUGUACGUUUACAUGUCCAAAUGUAUCAUUAAGCAUAAGCAAACAAUCUGUUUUAUGUUUUUCGAUCUUUUAAUUGUAUAAAAAUGACUGAAGAAGCUUCUCAAAAAUGGGCAGUCCCACGGUUGAGCGAAAGGAUUCUUUCGUCCCUGUCUUGGAGAUCUGUAGCUGCACAUCCUUGGCAUGAUCUUGAGACAGGUAGAUUUCUAAUGAGAUUAUUAUUGCCUAUCAACUCUUACAUUAACACACAGAAGCUAACUGUUGGUACAAAUUUACAUGCAAGUCCUGGAGCUCCCUCCGCUUUCAAUGUUGUAAAUAUUAGUUUUAAGCGCAUCACAUAUAGGCUUCCUUUCACUAUGCUUAUUUUAUUUUAUUUUACUUUUUAUGGUUUAUUUCAACUCUAAUUCUAGGUAAUUAGAUGCACUAACACAUGGACUAAUCUAUUCUAUUUGUUGUUGGAUAGCAUCUCAAUUCGUCUUUACUAAAUAAAAGGCAAAGAAGUGAUCAAGGUAUGCGUUGGUUAGACUUCCAUCCAGCUAUCUCUAAUAUGUGCUUAUCUAUAUCAAUCUCUUCUCUAUCUUGAGAAUUCCUUAAAAUUAUUUAGCUUUUUUGGUCAUGCUGGAGCUUCUACGGAAAUUUUUUGUGAGUUGAGUUACUUGAAUACGCCAUCCAUCUUCUUAAGUAUCCCGAGAACAGUUUUUGCUAUGACAAAAGCAAAAGAUUGUAUUUGAAUCUUAUGCUCUACGGGCCAAAAGCUUAUUUUAGCUUUCCCUCUACAGCUAGAAGCUCUAGAACUUUCAGCUAUCUCGAUCUCACAGGAGGUUUUGGGAUACCUGUUGCCUUCGUUUAGUUUUUUUUUUUGUUUUUUUGGUUUUUUUUUUUAUUUUUAUGGAGGCCUGGCGUCCCCACCUUGUAGCUUAAUUCAUAUCCCUGUGGAAUGAAGUGGUAGCAUGUUACAAUUUUAUCUAAAAAAAAAAGGAAAAGAAGAAUUUUCAGCUAUCUAACUCCCGUAAUCUGCCUAUUAAAUGGCACAAUGUUCGAAAACUUGGGCCCAUCAAUCAUAUCACAUUCAGUAACUGUUGGGUAGUUCAAUGUGUCCCUGAAUUAUAGAAAUAUUGAUGAUCCUGGAUGUUGCUAUCCUAUUCACUAUUUCAAAUAACUAAUUUGCAAAGUUCAUGAAUAUUGUUAUCGCAAGUUGACAGGAUUCUGUAGUCAUCAGUGGUCUAUCCUCAUAACUAUGGUAUCAUACCAUGAACUCUGAAGAUGGUGACCCCAUGGAUGUUUUGGUCCUGAUGCAGGUGACUAGAAAUCUACAUUACUAUUUUAUUUUCUUGAAGGAGAAAAAGUGCCUCUAUUUCGAAACUGUCUUUUUUUCCCCUUUUCUUUUGUGCUGCUCUGUCUAACCGUUGAAUCAGUUUUUCAGAUAAAUGGCACCUAUGUCCUCAUGGCUACCGUAUUGUAAUUUUAACUAAUAAUAAGGUUUUAUAGGUAAACAGUGCCUCUUUGAUGCUCCUAACAUAAUUCUUUUGCCCCUGCACUUGUUUGAAUAGGAACCAAUUGUUCCGGGUUGCUUUCUUAGUGCAAGGGCCAUAGGUCUUAUGCCUAUGAUUGAUCAGGUACUCAUUACUCAAUGUUGUAGCUCAUGAUGUCCCCAACAACCUCCAACCUUCUUUAAAUUAUCUUUUUUUUCCCUUCCCUUUUGUUUAUAAGUGCCGUCCUCCCUUGCUUCAUUCUGUAUCAGGGUGAGAAAGAUGAUAAGAUAAUUACAGCUGUGCUGAUGAUCCGGAAUACCGCCACUACAAUGACCAUAACGAGCUCUCUCCUCACCGACUUGCUGAAAUUCGUUGCUUCUUUUGAGGACUGUAUCCUUUUUUUUAAAAAAAAUCGAUGAGUUUUAUAUGUCAUUUUGUUGGUCCUUUCCUUUUUUAACUUAACUUUGAAAUCCUAGUAGCCUUGACAUUGAUGUAGACAAAAAGAACGAGAACAAAGAGGUUGCUGUCAAUGAGUUCUUACCUGCAGUCGCUGCCCAGGAAGCUAUUCAGCUCUCUAUGUAAGUCAGUAGCAGCAAUAAAGGCUUGCAUGACUGCAUUUUCCUGUAUCAGCCAUAGAUAAUAUUGUGAGAAAUAAUAGUGUAAUGAUUAAUCGUUUAGCAUUUGUCGUAUGGUAGAAAGGCUGCUUACGACUGUCUUUCCUAAGCCUGCACUCACAAGAGCCUGUUUGACUUACCUAGAGUUUCUAUGAGUGUUGUUCAAGUAGAACAUUUUGAACAGUUUUUCUAGCAAAAACCAGCCCUCUGCUAACCGCUUCCUAUUACAUUAUUGUCAGUAGUUUCGUAUUGAAGCUCUUGCUUCUGUGACGUAAAAGAUUAUCUCAUUUUGCAGCUAUAGCAGAAGCUCCAAAUGGAUCCUUGCUAUUGUUUCAAGGAGUUGCUUUGCAUAGUAGAGAAAUUUUUUGAAAAGCCUGCCAAGCAUGCAAAUAUUCCACUGAUAAAUCCCUUCAAAUAUGAAAACAUGUAGAUUUCUUGGUCAUGUACAUAUUAGCACGUUUUAAUAGAAUAUAUUCUUCUUUUCUUUUUUUCGCUCCCUAUUCUGAAACCGUCUUUUUGGCUGUGGAUUUAGGGAUCUGUAUGCAGACUAUAUCUUGCACAAUCUCAGGCGCUAGAUUGGGCGGGUUCUUUGAUAACUGAGACUUUGGAAGGCUAAUUAAUACUUCUGCUCAGUUUACCUUAAUUUUGGACUAUUUUGAUUUUUUUUGUAUCAGAUAUGUUUUAUCCAAAUUCUGGUUUCCUUUUGAAACUUUUGUCAGAUCAUGGGAGCUCGUGUUUUUCGUAUUAACUAUUGAUCUAUUGAAUGCAGUUUGCACUGGCUCUUUUAAAUCUGAGUUUCCUCACGAAAUUUCUACUGUGGACCAGAUGUUUUAUUUUCCUUGUAAUAUUGAUAUAGCAAAACGAGGAUUCUCAGUCAUUGGCUCAUGGCCGUAAGAAAGUACGAUAACUUUAUCUUGUGAAAUAUAUUUUGAUACCUCUUUAUCUUAAAAGAAUCCCUCUUAUUUGGUCAUCUCCUGGAAUUGUGUUUCCAUUGCAAGUAGCAACAAGGCAUUUUAUAGGCAAAAUUCUAGAAAUUUUGCAGUGAAUUUAAGAAGAGUUUCUUGAUGUUUGUACUUUAUAGCAUGAAGCUGUGGGAGAGAUUUUGAUAAAAAUGUUACUACAACAAGAAGCCAGGUCAAAUAGACCUUCUAUUAUGGAGUGAGCAACGCUGUGACUUUGAUGUACGAUGACUUUUCGUUCGAAGGCUCCAAAAAAGUAGUGGUUCAUUCUAUUAGUGAAAAGAUUAUCGAAUACUAUCAGUUUUAGUAGAUAAAUCUGUUCAAUCGUGGAGAUUAUUUAGAUUCGAAUUUUAAAGAACGUGAGAUUGAAUAUUAGUUAUCCAAUGCGUGCAUCAGAUACUUUUUCCGUAGAAGGAUUUGAAUUAGACUAAAAUAUAAUAGAUAUAUCUUAAAAUUAGAUUGGUCAUCUACAGCAGAUAUUAGAUUAAAAUAUCUAAUUCUAAAGCCUGUGCGAUUGAACAGUGCUUUGCUGAAAACGAAUUAAAUUGAAUUAGAAUAGGAAUUGGAGUUGGAGUGGGAGUCAGAGAUUGAUAGUAAAGAAUUUGAAUUAGAUUAAAAUAUAAAUGAUAAAUGAUAUAUCUUAAAAUUAGAUUUGCCAUCUACGGCAGAUAUUUGUUAGAGAUCUACUCUCUUUCCAACGGCACACGCCUAUAUAUAUAAAUACAUAGGAAGGAUCUUACCUUAGAAUAGUUAUUACUUGUAUAAUUCCAUCAAAACGGACCCCCGCCCCGCAGUUGGAGUUUGAAUUGGGUUGCUUGAACUCACAAACGACGGCAAUGAAGAAGGCGAUCAGCGGAGGCCGCACGCUUCCGGAGAAUGUCAUCGCGUACGGCGUCCUCCCUCGGCUCCCGGCCAAAACCCUCAUCAGGUUGCAGUGCGUGUCGAAGCGCUGGCGCGCCUUGAUCUCCACCGACCCCCACUUCAUGCGCCUGCAGGACGCCCACGCCCGCUCCUCCCCCGCCCUCCUCGUCUUCGGCGAGACGCCCUGCCCAGUCUUCCUGUCCCGCCGAGAAUCGCCCCGGUCUAUCGGCUUCCCGAGACUCUUCAGGCAGCCCCAGUUCUGCAGCCCGCUGGGCAACUGGCUCCCCCUCGCAGCCUGCGGCGGAAUCCUCUGCAUUGCUACAGCAGCCUCGAGCAGCGAUUGGACAUCCGGGCUCUACUUGGGUAAUCCGGUGUGGAUGGACUGGCGGCGUCUCCCUGCGCCCCCAGGCUGGACCCCCCAGUCUGAUGGUACGAAGAUGCAGUUAGCCGUCCACGACACGGAGGACGGUACUCUCUACAAGCUUGUCGUGCCGUUUUUAACGCAGAGCGGUAUCGCUGGCCGAGCAGAAGCUGCUUUCCUCGUCUUCUCCUCCACCAAGGGCUCGUGGGAGAUAUCUCAACAGAAAGUUUUGGUGAAGUUGCUGGACUCUCGGGACCUGAUAGUGGGAUUAAGACAUUGUGUGUGUGUGGAGGGAGUAUUCUUUUGGCUUGCCGCACUUGAGGUGUUAUGGUUCGAUCCGAGAGAUGAGCGCGGCGGCGUCAUCCCUUUGCCAUUCAUUCCAUUGCCACGGAACAUCGGUGAAUGGGAAGGGAAGUUGAGCUUCGCGACGUUGGUUGACAGGGAGAUCCGUAUGUGGUCCUGGAACCGGUCCUCUUGGUCCUCGAGGACUUUGCUUACAAUGGAGACGGCCGCGAAGGCCGAUCCGGACUUCUUCGCUUCCAUGGGCCUCAGGAUGAAUCUAAGAAGCCGAAGUGCUGAAUCGUUGGAUGUCAUCCUUGACAGCACCCGUCCGUCUAUUGCUGCCUUUGGGGCCGGUUUCAUCAUACUAAUGUUUAGGCCGAGGCCUCCGGGGUUUUGUUUCCGGGGGCUCUGCUACGAUGCAGCAACCGGAAAGGCAUGGAAAUUGAAGGGAGCGAUGGGGGGCCAUGAAAGCUCGUCGACACCAUUUGCCUAUGCGAAUAGCCUUCUUAAACUGACAACUCCUUGAUUACUGCAACAGUCGGCAGCUUCUCGAGCCGUACAUUGUUAUUUAAUUUAUGGAAGUUUUGUGCGUAUUCUGCAAUGUAGACGAUCGCUUUGCAAUAGAGUUUAUUAUAUAUAUUUUUUCUCUCUGAACUUCGGAGAAACAAAUCACCGUUUUAUGUUUAUUUUAUUUUCAUAUAACAAUUCAAGUAAAGAAGAAGAUGCAUUCCACGAUUCUCAUGACAUAUAUUGCUUUUGGAUUCAUUAUAAAGAAGUCUGAGUAAGAAGUCUGAGUAAGAUGAAAUAUAUUGCUUUCGAUUCUAUGAUUUACGGAUUUUUGGAUCACGGGCAAUUGACCCAUCUGUGGCCAUCUUGAGUUGUAUGCUUAAAGAAAUUGUUCAUUGGGAUCAUGUCUCGUACAUUGCGGUCCUCGGCCUUUGUGCGGGUUUAAAAGAUUCAACUUUGGGCUGGCAGGUCUAUGGUCAAAUCUUGAAAAGAAGAAUGGAGUUGAGUGUUUUUGUGGUAGUGCAAUCGUAGACAUGUAUGGAAAAUGUGGCGAUGCCCAAAAUGCUCAGAUUGUUCUCGAGAUGCUUCAGAACAAGAAUGUAGUUUCUUGGACGACUGUCAUGGCUGCAUGUGCACAAAAUGAGUGCUUCGAAGAUAUGCUGAAGUUAUUUUAAAGAUGGAAAUAGAUGGCAUUAGUCCAAACGAGUUCACUUGUGCAGUUGCUCUCAAUUCCUGCGCCGGUUUGUCAGCUUUGAGGAACGGCGAUGCCCUAAAUGGUCACAUAGAAAAAUCAGGGUAUAAAUCUCUCUCGACCAUCGAUACUGCUUUGAUUAACAUGUAUUCAAAGAGUGGCAGUAUUGAAGACGCGACAAGAGUAUUCACGACAAUGUCUCAUCAGGACAUAAUCUCGUGGAAUUCGAUUAUAAGUGCAUACUCCCAUCGUGGGCUUGCAAGAGAAGCUGUCGAAGCUUUUCAUAAUAUGCUGGCUGAAGCUGAGGUUCCAACUUAUGUAACCUUCAUUGGGGUGCUUUCAGCUUGUGGGCAUUUGGGUUUGGUCGACGAAGCGUUUUACUACUUAAAUCAUUCUAUGCAGGAGCUAGGGAUAACGCCUGGGACAGAACAUUAUACUUGCAUGCUUGGUCUCUUGUGUGGAGCUGGACUAUUAAAUGAGGCUGAUCAGUUUAUGAGAUCUACAGGCACAGAUUGGGAUAUUGUUGCAUGGCGAACUCUUCUAACUGCUUGCCAAGUGCAUAAAAAGUACGGUUUAGGCCACCAAGUUGCUAAUACAUAUUAUUGAAUUAAAUCCCAGUGAUGUAGGAACUUAUAUUUUGCUAUCUAAUUUGUAUGCUAAAGAGAAUCGAUGAGAUGGAGUAGUGAAAAUUAGGAAGAUAAUGAGAGAAAGAUGCAUUAAGAAGGAACCUGGUGUUAGUUGGAUACAAGUAGGAAGUGUAGUCCAUUUUUUUACUUCAGAAGAUAAGAAGCAUCCAUGGAUGAUGCAGAUCAAUGAAAAAUUAGCAGAACUAAUAGGCCAGAUAAAGCUUUUUGGAUAUGUUCCUAAUAUUGAUUCAGUUUUGCAUGAUGUCGAGGAGGAACAGAAAGAGUAUCUCAGAUAUCAUAGCGAGAAAUUGGCUAUUGCUUUCGGGCUUAUUCGGACUCCUCAAGGAGCUCCCAUUCAUGUCAUGAAGAAUCUGAGGAUUUGCAAUGAUUGUUAUGUUGCUAUAAAGCUCAUUUCAAUCGUGACCAAGAGGAGAAUGGUUCUAAGAGACGCCAGUCGGUUUCAUCGAAUUGACGGUGGAGUAUGUUCUUGUGAUGAGAAGAAUAGCCUUGACUGUUGUAAAGAAACUUCUGAUUGAGCUCAGUUUGCUGAUAAUAUGUUAAUAAUAGAGAGAAUUUUUAAUUUUCUUGUAAAUCUAUUUCAAUCUCCAUGGCCAGUAAGAACUGUAUAUCCCUACCAAAACAUUUUUUCUGUUUUCUAACUUCUGAUUAGCUGAUCCUGUAUUAGAAACAUCGGCACUGGUUGGUGGAAAUUUCAUUUGCUUAUCUAACUUAUUUAUACGUCGAGCACUAACAGUGAUAAAAAAUUUAUAAGAAGAUACCAGCAUCUCAAGUCGAUCAUUCUCUUCUAUUUAUGCUGUUUUCUUUCUAUUUUUUUAUUUCUAUCAUUUACUCUCUGCUUGGUGCACAAUUACUGCAGAAUCAGUUUAUCAACUAUUUUCAUUUUUGCUGCAUCAGAUACUUCUACUUUCCAAAUUCUGGCUUUCUGCUGAAACUUUUGACAGAUCAUGGAAGCUCGUGUUUUCAGGAAAUGUAGUAACCAUCAAGCACGAGAACUGCUAAAACAGAUCCCAUGGCCACCUUAUUUGAGAGCUCUCCAGAAAAUACACCAAGCUGGUUGUUUGUAUGAUUCAGAAGAUUGAUCAAUAACUUAUUGACUUGACAUAUGUGGCUUCAUUCUUAAAGCUAAUGAUUUUUUUAUCACAUAGGGGCUGUUUUUUUAAUAUUUUUUAUAACUAAUCCUAUCAAUUUUUAUAAUUAUACAAAUAAUUUUCUUAAAAAAAUAAUUAUAAAAAUGGACUUUUAAGUACAGUGAAUAAUUCACUGUAUUCAUUACUUCUAUUUACCAGUAAAAAAAUAAUAAAAGCAAUAAACUAUUCACCGUUUUUAUUAUCGUAGAAUUAUAAUAAAAAGAAAGAAAAAGAAACAAAGCGUGAAUGAUUCACCGUUUUAAAAGCUGUGAAUCAUUCACCACUUUUAUAAAAUUACAUCUACAAAUAAAAUUUUAAUAGAUUUAUUUUUAAAAUAAUUUUAGAAGAGUACUAUUGAACUAAAAACCCGUUUUUUUUGUCAAAAAUGAAGAAGAAAAGCGCUUUAUGGGAAAGAGUGUCUAAGACUGAUAGAUUAAAGAACUCCAAGUAAGAAAUAUAUGCAUCCAAAAUAUGCAAUGCAUUUUUGAGACAAAAAGAAAUGAAAAAGAAUAGUAACAUCCUUGCUGCAUAGAAGAUAUUGCCACUUUCACGAUGAUAUUUUAAAUUUUUAUGCCUUUCAAUCACUUCAAACUAAUCAACUUGCUAUACAAAUCAUCACAAAAUAUGAUAAAGAAAGCGAACGUAUCGCAUCAGCAAUAAAUCUUUUGCAACCAGACAAAAAUUUCAAAUUGAAGAUUAGCAAUCAUUAGCAACUGGAAAUCUCAACUGCAUUUCAUUAUAGGUGACAAUUUGGGGAAUUUCACCAUAACCCCAGGACUUAAACAGCAAAAUGAGAUAAUAGUCAUACAAUGUUUAAUUUGAACAAGCCUCCCUGCUUUUUUAGUUCAAACACGAAAGAGGUUGUAAGAAAAAUAAGUCUUACGAAAAAUAAGUCUUACUAGUCAUAUUACUUGUGACAAAACCACAGGUAGCCUAGUCAACAAGAAAACAUGACAUCUUAUGCUAUAAUGGACAACCGACACAUAAUGAUUAGAAAGUUUAAUCUGGAAAACAAUAGUUGCACCCCAAGAAAGAGAAUCCUUGCUUUUACAAAAUCAUGAGAGAGAGAGAGAGAGAGAGAGAGAGAGAGAGAGAUGAAGGUCCAUGUUCAUCACUAGUCCUGCUCACUGCUACAUUAGAAAGACUUGCACGCUGCUUCUCUGAAAGAAACUUUUUUCUAGGACCUAAUUUAGCAAACAUACAUAAGGGGGCUUCCUUCUUCAGCGUUAAAUAUUUCUUAUCCUCAUGUCAUAAUCAGCUCCGUGAAAUAAAGCACCAUACCAAAACAUCUUGCAUAGUAUUUGCACUGAUUUCUCCAUUUGCGAGGAUAUACGCGAGUUCUUAUCAGCAAAGCCAGCAAUAGUAG